rnacentral:lncRNA from 1 species
UUUGUUGUCAAUGUUGAAGUAGGUGGUUGGCUGGUUGUAGGUUGAUUUGGGAUUUGACUGAUGAGAUCAAACAAGACUUGGUCAUUUGUAUCAGUCUCCAAGCCACUUGCACCAAAAACUGCUUCAGGUGUGAAAUUGGACUGCUGAGGUUGGGACUGCUUGUUUGCACCAGGAUUCAUAGUGUUGGGAGUCUGCUGUUGUGAUUGAGAGCCACUUGCACCAAAACUGCUUCAGGUGUGAAAUUGGACUGCUGAGGUUGGGACUGCUUGUUUGCACCAGGAUUCAUAGUGUUGGGAGUCUGCUGUUGUGAUUGAGAGCUACUUGUAACCGCAGCAGCUUGUUGCUGGACAUUCUCUUGAUCAUGACUGUUUGGACACUUCCUACUAUUGUGGCCCUUCUGUUUACACUUUCU